rnacentral:rRNA from 1 species
CUUUACUGAGUGUCGUGGCGGGCCGGCACGUUUACUUUGAACAAAUUAGAGUGCUAAAAGCAGGCCUCGUGCCUGAAUAUUGUGUGCAUGGAAUAAUAGAAUAGGAUCUCGGUUCUAUUUUGUUGGUUUUCUGAACCAGAGGUAAUGAUUAAGAGGAACGGACGGGGGCAUUCGUAUUGAGACGUUAGAGGUGAAAUUCUUGGAUCGUCUCAAGACGGACAGAAGCGAAAGCAUUUGCCAAGAACGUUUUCAUUAAUCAAGAACGAAAGUUAGAGGUUCGAAGGCGAUCAGAUACCGCCCUAGUUCUAACCAUAAACGAUGCCAGCCAGCGAUCCGCCAAAGUUCCUCCGAUGACUUGGCGGGCAGCUUCCGGGAAACCAAAGCUUUUGGGUUCCGGGGGAAGUAUGGUUGCAAAGCUGAAACUUAAAGGAAUUGACGGAAGGGCACCACCAGGAGUGGAGCCUGCGGCUUAAUUUGACUCAACACGGGAAAUCUCACCAGGUCCGGACACCGGAAGGAUUGACAGAUUGAGAGCUCUUUCUUGAUUCGGUGGGUGGUGGUGCAUGGCCGUUCUUAGUUGGUGGAACGAUUUGUCUGGUUAAUUCCGAUAACGAACGAGACUCUAACCUGCUAACUAGCCGUUCCCGGCAUCAUAUGCUGCCGGCGGCAUAAAUUUCUUCUUAGAGGGACAGGCGGCUUCUAGCCGCACGAGAUUGAGCAAUAACAGGUCUGUGAUGCCCUUAUAUGUCCUGGGCCGCACGCGCGCUACAAUGAAGGUAUCAACGUGUCUUCCCAGGCCGAACGGUCCGGGUAACCCGAUGAACCAUCUUCGUGCUAGGGAUUGGGGCUUGCAAUUGCUCCCCAUGAACGAGGAAUUCCCAGUAAGCGCGAGUCAUAAGCUCGCGUUGAUUACGUCCCUGCCCUUUGUACACACCGCCCGUCGCUACUACCGAUUGAAUGAUUUAGUGAGGUCUUCGGACUGAUGCGCGAUAGCAUUAUUCUUAAUGCUGCCGAUGUUAUUGGAAAGAUGACCAAACUUGAUCAUUUAGAGGAAGUAAAAGUCGUAAC